rnacentral:lncRNA from 1 species
GAGGUACCAACCACAUGGAAUAGAGUUUAUCUUUAUCUAGGGCAUGGGGAAGGGAGUUGAGGGGGUAGUAGAGACAGAGAAAGGCAGAGAGAAGGGAGGAAGAGGGAAAGGGAAAAGGAGAGGAGGCAGGCCAUGACACUUGGAAAGAGAGUGGGAGGGGAGUGGGGAGAGAAGAGACAGGGAGAGAAGAGAAGAAGGGAGUAAGAAGAGCAAGAGAGAGAGGAGGGGGUCAAGAAGAGCCUUUUAUAGUGAGUCAGGCACACCUGGCUGUUGCCAGGUAACUGUGGGGCGGAGCCUAGAAGAAAUGCUAACAGUAGAUAUCAGCUAAGGGCCGGAGAAAAAGAGAAAUAUAAUGGACAUGAAUUCAUACUAGGGAGUAAAUGGUUGAGAACUUCUUAACCUCAUGUUAAAAUAGGUUAGCCUAAAAUAGAUUAAAAUAGGGUGUAAUGAUCCAUGCCUAUAACCCCAGUGCCAGGAACGGACAGGCAGGAGAACUGCCUUGAGUUCAAGGCCCACCUGGGCUGGCUUUCUAGCAAGUUCCAAGCCAGUCUGAGCUACAGAAGAAGAGUUUAGCCCAAAUAAUAAAAUAAAUAAAUAUAAAAAUAAAAUUAAAAAAAGCAUAAAACAUACUGGUCGUGAGGCUUGAAAGCUGUGCAGCAGAACGUAACAUGGAGGCAGUAGUCUGGAGAGAUGGCGUGGCACCUCAGUGUGUGCUGGUCUUGGAAAGGGCAUGGAUUUGGUUCCAGGCACCUAAUCAGUUGACAACCACCUGAAACUCCAGCUCCAUGGGAUUGGAUGCCCUCUUCUGGCCACCACAGGCACCUGCACUCAUGUGCACAUAUCUACCCACAGACAUACACAUAAUUAAAAAAAAAAAAACUAGUAAUUUCAGACUCAGACUUUUAGGUCAGUGAGGUGGCUCAGUGGAUAAAGGUGCUUGCUGCGCAUGCCUGAAGACUUGCAUUUGACUCCUGGAAGCCACUGUGGAAGGAGAGAAUCACUCCUUAGCCUCUACACAUGUGCCAUUGUUUAAGCGCCUACCCAUGUGCUUAAAACAAUUUUUAAACAAGAUUUGGAAAAAGAUUCAGUUGCAGGAAUUCAUCCCUGUAAUUCUAACCCUUAGAAGGUAGAUGCAGGAGGAUUGCUAAUUGCUAUCAGUUCGAAGUCAACCUGAGUAACAUCGUGAGUUCUAGACCAGCCUGAGCUACAAAGUGAGACCUGAUCAAUAGCAAGACAUGAAAAAGGGGGAGGGCCGUGAUAGCUGGAUGGGUAAGGGCACUUGAUGCCAGAUAGGGCUGAGGACCUGAGUUUGAUCCCAGAGCGUACAUGAUGGAAAGAGACCUGAAGUUCUCUCUUACCUUCAUUUGUCUGUUGUGGCAUGUGUAUGAGAAUGUGCAAGCUCAACACAUACACACACACACACCCCACACACAAAUAAAUACUCUAAAAUUUAAAAACAGAAAGAAAAUUCAGACUUUGUCCACAUUUGUGGAGUUCUCAGGCUGUUAACUGCCUACCGUUUUUAGAGCACAGUUGGGACAUUGCCCUUUUCUGGGAAACCCAGUAUGGCCUCAGGGAAGCCAUUCCCACAUUCACACUCUGGGGCUUCCUCUCAGGAGAUGAGCUGGCCCUCUGCCAGUUUGCCUCUGAGAACCAGGGCUUAGUCCAUAACCCUGCACACACAUGAGUCCUUCACUAGCCUUUUCUACCUCCAUAUGACAUCUUAACAGACUGACACACCUCUCCAGAUGCCUAUAAGAACAACAGAAAUUCAUUUCUCACAGUUCUGGGAGUUGUGGAACUCAAGAUCAGCGUGCUAGUAGGUGCUGUCUGUCAACUCUACUGUUCGGUUCUUAAGUAAUAUGCUGUGGUCUGAAGUCUCAUAGUGCCACCAAUCCAAUUCAUGGGGGGCCACACUGGUCGUCAUCUAGUCUCCUCCUGUGCUAGUCACCUCUCUCACUGCUGUGACCAAAUGACUGAGGAGUGGAAACUUAAGGAGAAGCCCAUUUUAGCUUAUAGUUUCAGAGGACUCAAUCUAUAUUACUGUGGGAGAGGCAUGGCAGCUUAAGCCAGAGGCAGCUAGU